rnacentral:rRNA from 1 species
CCUACGGGAGGCAGCAGUGAGGAAUAUUGGUCAAUGGGCGCGAGCCUGAACCAGCAACGCAGCGUGAAGGAAGAAUGCUCUACGGGUUGUAAACUUUUUUUAUAAAGGAGUACAGUGAGGGACGCGUGCCAUUUUGUCUGCACUUUAUGAAUAAGCCUCGGCUAACUCCGUGCCAGCAGCCGCGGUAUUAUGGGGGUUCCGUGCGUUAACCGGAUUUAUUGGGUUUAAAGGGAGCGUAGACGGGUUGUUAAGUCCGAUGUGAAAGCUUGCGGCUCAACCGUAGAAUUGCAAUUGAUACUGUCAGUCUUGAUUACAGUAGAGGUAGGCGGAAUUCGUAGUGUAGCGGUGAAAUGCUUAGAUAUCACGAAGAACUCCGAUUGCGAAGGCAGCUUACUGAACUGCCACUGACAGUGAGGCUCGAAAGUGUGGGGAUCAAACAGGAUUAGAUACCCGAGUAGUC